rnacentral:rRNA from 1 species
AGUCGAACGAUGUAGCAAUACAUAGUGGCGCACGGGUGAGUAACGCGUGGGAAUGUACCAUUUGGUGGGGAAUAACUUCGGGAAACUGAAGCUAAUACCGCAUACGCCCUUCGGGGGAAAGAUUUAUCGCCAAAUGAUCAGCCCGCGUGAGAUUAGAUAGUUUGUGGGGUAAUGGCCUACCAAGUCUACGAUCUCUAGCUGGUCUUAGAGGAUGACCAGCCACACUGGAACUGAGACACGGUCCAGACUCC